UACGGAAGGCAGCAGUGGGGAAUAUUGCACAAUGGGCGAAAGCCUGAUGCAGCUAUGCCGCGUGUAUGAAGAAGGCCUUAGGGUUGUAAAGUACUUUCAUCGGGGAGGAAAAAACAAAACUAAUAAUUUUAUUUCUUGACGUUACCCGAAAAAGAAGCACCGGCUAACUCCGUGCCAGCAGCCGCGGUAAUACGGAGGGUGCUAGCGUUAAUCGGAAUUACUGGGCGUAAAGGGCACGCAGGCGGUUAAUUAAGUUGGAUGUGAAAUCCCCGGGCUUAACCUGGGAAUGGCAUUCAAGACUGGUUAGCUAGAGUCUUGUAGAGGGGGUAGAAUUCCAUGUGUAGCGGUGAAAUGCGUAGAGAUGUGGAGGAAUACCGGUGGCGAAGGCGGCCCCUGGACAAAGACUGACGCUCAUGUGCGAAAGCGUGGGGAGCAAACAGGGAUUAGAUACCCGU
rnacentral:rRNA from 1 species